GCGGGCUCGGGGCGGCAGGACCUCCGGGAUUGGACCGGAGUGCCGAAGGGGAGGUCCGAGGCGGCGGGAAAGGAAGACAGAGGCUCAGGAGCGGCGCUGGACGGGCCGGAGAGGCGGCGACCCUGACGACUGGCAACAUGAAAAUAAGAAACGAAGAGUAAUGUGACGACUCCAUUUCUCAUUUGCCGGAGUUAGAAGAUUUGGGACACGGUCAUGUGUAGAACUAAUGCAGUUCUACAUUAUGAUCAGACCCUCCUGCUGAAGAUGGUAUAUGGAGCACAAAAACUCCUCCGAGGAAGGGCUCUUCCCCGCUGGCUCAGGGGCCAACAAUCAGCCGCUGCAAUGCGGGCACCAGAGCUAGUCAACAGGGCGGGUCCCGCCCACUGACAAUUCUGCUGCCCAGGUGCCACCUGGUGGUGAUAAGCAA